GAGGACCUUUUCACAGACCUGUACUGAUAUCUCUGUGAGGAUAAGUAACUCUGAGGAGGCUGGCCCUACACCACAGCCUUCUCAUCCUCUAUAGAUUUCUUGGUGUAGAAGUAACCCGAUGCUAACUUUUCUACAGGUUUGAGGUGCUACUUUACAUUCAAAAGGAUGGGAGUACACUCUCUUUUCAGAAUAUGGUUCAUCUCAAAGCCCUUUACACUUUGGAGCCAGGCCUGUUCAAGUUUACAAAUAGCANAUUUUGCUUGUAGUCAGGGUACUGUGACAACGUGAAGAGCUCAAGCUGCCUCCCAGGAUGAGUACAGGUUUUCCUGGUGAUGAUGAAUCUCAGGCAUUCAAAGGUUCUGUUAGCAGUGCCAUGCUUGUUGGCUCACAGAGAGGGUGUGUCUGGCUGAGAGCAAAGGAGCCAUACCAGGAAAGUUAAAGCGUAUUUUCAUCUUCAAGUCCAGGCUAAAAUAAGGUCUGAGGAAAAGAAUGAGCUGUGAGUGAAAGAUAGGAACAGAAAUCAUGAAAGAUCUGUUUGUCCAGGCCAGUGUUUCACCAUAAGAGAUCACUUUAAAAUAGAUGAAAUAAUUCUUUGCAAUUGCAAAUUUACCUUCCUUGCUUAACCACAUUCAUUGUUAACUGUAGGAGCUGAUAUCUGGUCCUUCCAUUGAUGACUUGUAGCUCUGUAUUCUAGCAAUAAACGCUCUUUAUGCUA
rnacentral:lncRNA from 1 species